GAGAAAGUCAUAGUGGCUAUGGUAUUGGCUUGAAACCAGUCUUAGGGGGAUCGAAACCUUCCUUUCUUA
rnacentral:tRNA from 1 species